AUAAUUCAAUUCGAUUCAAUAAUUCAUUCAAAUAAAUUAAACAUUUUCUGGCAAUUAGAGUCCAGUAAUUAAUAUUUUGCCAGAACUAGUAAAUUAAACGUUAUUUUUAGUUGUCUAUUUAGAAUCGUGGGAGAAUUGUGAUCUCUAUUUGAAACCAAAAAAUCAUGAAUCUCAUUUUAUCCAGAAUCCUGCAGCUCUAGUAUAUGUCUAGUACAAAAUGUGUAGUUGUAUGAAUGUCCAGUUGUGUUGUUUGAGAAUUGCUUUGAUUUGUGCAAGGGUAAUCACCUUUAAAGGAUUAGUUUACCCAAAAAUGAAAAUUCUGUCAUUAAUUACUCACCCUCAUGUUGUUCCACAUCCGUAAGACCUUUGUUCAUCUUCAGAACACAAAUUAAGAUAUUUUUGAUGAAGUUCAUAAAAUUGAGGUUAAACCACUGGAAUCACAUGGAAUACUUCAAUGAUGUCAUUCCUACCUUUCUGUGCCUUGGAGUGGUAGUUGUGUUGGAUCUCAUUGGAGGGACAGAAACCUCUCAGACCUCAUCAAAAAGAUCUUAAUUUGUUUUGAGUUCAGAAAAAGCAUACGCAUAAAAUACAAAGUAUAGUUUGGGCUUUACACACAGUAAUGAAUGUUUAAAAAACAAAACAAAAAAAGUAUUGGGUAAAAUCAUCCCCCAUGUUAUGUUAACCUAAUGAUGUUAUUUUGUUGAAAGGCCUACUGUUGGAAGCAGCUAUUCUGCUCUUGCCUGCACUGUUCAAGGUGGACCUGGGGUUGCUGUUUGACAUUGAGGGCCAUGCUCAGACCAGCCGUCCUGUCAUCCCAACACCUAAGAUAAAGGCUGCAAAGAGGAUCAUCCCAUGCAGUAUGACCACAUUGGGUUCAGAUUGGAUGGCCAGUUAAUCACAGUGGAGAGUGAGGACAUCUUGAUGGCAUUGGGCCUCCUUCUGUGUGUAUAUUUUGCGUUUGGAAUCGAAUCGAAUCCAGUAUCCUAAAGGACUGAAAAAGACACUGACCUUUUUAAAGUGUUGUUUUGAAAUUGAAGGAUGCAUUCGGACUUCCUGUUACUGUAAAAUGAGUGUACAACUCAAUCUGUGAGUAGACUUUCGGAGUCAAUAUUCUCUCUUGCUCCCUUUCGUACGGUUUUAGUUCCAGUUUCUAUAUUGUUUUUGAAAUCCUGAAGGACUUACAAAAAUGUUAGUGCGCUGUUGACAGUGAAAGAUACUGCAGGACUUCAGAGCAUAACUCAGUAUGCAAAAACAGGACUAUUGUCUACAAAAAUGUACAUGUUUCAAGCUUGUUGGAUUAUUUUGUAUGUGUAUAAAAGGGGAGUAUAAUGUGAUGUUGUACAUGUGUAUUCCCUGACUUGUCAGCACUGAGUUUAUUUGCUGCUGAAAGAAAUAAA